GAUCCUGGCUCAGAAUCAACGCUGGCGGCGUGCCUAACACAUGCAAGUCGCACGAGAAAGUGGCUUCGGCCAUGAGUACAGUGGCGCACGGGUGAGUAACACGUGAAUUAUCUACCUCCGAGUGGGGAAUAACUUAGGGAAACCUGAGCUAAUACCGCAUAACACUUACGAGUCAAAGCAGCAAUGCGCUUGGAGAGGAGUUCGCGGCAGAUUAGUUAGUUGGCAGGGUAAUGGCCUACCAAGACGAUGAUCUGUAUCCGGCCUGAGAGGGCGCACGGACACACUGGAACUGAAACACGGUCCAGACUCCUACGGGAGGCAGCAGUGGGGAAUUUUGCGCAAUGGGGGAAACCCUGACGCAGCAACGCCGCGUGGAGGAUGAAAUCCCUUGGGAUGUAAACUCCUUUCGAUUGGGAAGAUUAUGACGGUACCAAUAGAAGAAGCCCCGGCUAACUUCGUGCCAGCAGCCGCGGUAAUACGAGGGGGGCAAGCGUUGUUCGGAAUUAUUGGGCGUAAAGGGCGCGUAGGCGGUUUGACAAGUCUGAUGUGAAAUCUCUGGGCUCAACCCAGAGUCUGCAUUAGAAACUGUCGGGCUUGAGUAUGGGAGAGGUGAGUGGAAUUUCCGGUGUAGCGGUGAAAUGCGUAGAUAUCGGAAGGAACACCUGUGGCGAAAGCGGCUCACUGGACCAU
rnacentral:rRNA from 1 species